rnacentral:rRNA from 1 species
CCGGAUUUAUUGGGUUUAAAGGGUGCGCAGGCGGACUAAUAAGUCAGUGGUGAAAUCUACAUGCUUAACAUGUAUCGUGCCAUUGAUACUGUUGGACUAGUAUGCAAAUGACGUAGCUGGAAUGUGUUAUGUAGCGGUGAAAUGCUUAGAUAUAACACAGAACACCAAUCGUGAAGACAGGUUACGAAUUUGUAAUAGACGCUCAGGCACGAAAGCGUGGGGAUCAAACAGGAUUAGAUACCCUGGUAGUCCACGCUGUAAACGAUGAUAACUUGUUGUUGGGCACAUAGUGCUCAGUGGCUAAGCGAAAGCGAUAAGUUAUCCACCUGGGGAGUACGAUCGCAAGGUUGAAACUCAAAGGAAUUGACGGGGGCCCGCACAAGCGGAGGAGCAUGUGGUUUAAUUCGAUGAUACGCGAGGAACCUUACCCGGGCUCGAACGUAUAUUGAAUAACGUGGUAACAUGUUAGUCGCAAGACAAUAUACGAGGUGCUGCAUGGUUGUCGUCAGCUCGUGCCGUGAGGUGUCAGGUUAAGUCCUAUAACGAGCGCAACCCUUACUUUCAGUUGCCAGCACGUAAUGGUGGGGACUCUGGAGGAACUGCCUACGCAAGUAGUGAGGAAGGUGGGGAUGACGUCAAAUCAGCACGGCCCUUAUGUUCGGGGCUACACACGUGCUACAAUGGUCGAUACAGAGGGCAGCUACUUGGCAACAAGAUGCGAAUCUCAAAAGUCGAUCUCAGUUCGGAUCGGAGGCUGUAACUCGCCUCCGUGAAGUUGGAUUCGCUAGUAAUCGCGCAUCAGC